rnacentral:rRNA from 1 species
GUCGGUGCGUGUGCGGAUACGAGAGGGGAAAGGGAGGGAGUGAGGCCCACUCGAUCGAUACAACACAACCACGUCGGCGUCUUCGGAAACGAGAAGGUGGUCAGGUAGGUAGGUAAGGUGGCCCUCCUCUCGUCCUGGAGAGGAAGGAAAAGGGAGGAGGAGACGCGAGGAUCCAAUCCUCCUCCCCGAAAAGUUUCCUCUCUCGUUUUCUCUUUCAGGAACGUAUGGGGUUGUUCCGUUGGGCGACGACGGAAAAAGAGGGAGAGGGGAGGGGAGGGGGGAAGAGAGAGAGGUGGGAGAGACGAAAGAACAAUAGAAGUCGGGUCGGUUGCUCUCGUCUCGUCUCGGCUCGGCUCGUCUCUCUCCACCUGGCUUUGUAGCCUGUCGUUCGUCCCUCCCCUCGAUCGGUUCCUUCCUGCCGCCCGUACACCCUAGAGUUACUGAGCGGCCGCCGGCUGCGCGGCGGCGACAGGGGCAGGCAGCUGCUGAGGCCGCGGAGGAGGAGCAGCCGGCGGCGCCACCAGCUCUAUGGGCUGCUGCGGCUGCUGCUGAGGCGGCUCCGGCAGCAGUGCGCGGUCAAGAAGGGGGGCCGGCGGGGCCCGCUCCCGCGGCGGCCCUUGCCGGCGCGCCGCACCGAGGCGGACCGGCCGCGGGGGCGCGGGCGGCACCGGCGGCGUCGUCGGCGCCGGCGGCCUCCUCCUCAGCCUCCGGGGCGCCGCAGCCGCCGCCGGUUCUUCUCGGCCGCGCCCGGCGCCAGCGCGUCGAGCGUCAUGGCGCCGCAGUGGAAGAUGGCGGCCUGCCCCGCCACCCUCAGCGUGUAUACCAUUCAAGGAGGAAGGGCGGGCGGCGGCAGAGAAAGGAAAGGAAAGGAAAGGAAAGGAAAGAACUCUCGAAUUCCUUCCUCUUCCUCUCUCUCGCGACGUCGUCAACGUCGUCGUCGUCGUCGUCGUUUUCUUCUCUUCUCUUUUCUUCUACCCAAACCAUAACCUAAGCAGAACAAAACCCGUAAGGUACGGAGACGAGGAAAACGGAAAGUAUCGUUGCAGGUAGAAUAGUUUGAAUAAGAGGAGGGAAGGAAGGAAGGAAGGAAGGCACAAAGAGAGAGAGAAGAGAGGAGAGGAGAAUAGAAGAGAAGAGUGCGCGAGUAGAGAGAGGGGGUAAGAAAACGCGUUACGUCCCUAACGCCGUUCGUCCAGAUAGACCCACCUAAGCUGUGACGAGUACGCCGCCGAGCCCGCAUGCUAGCCCGCCGCUAGUUCAAGGCGCCGUACCUCCGGCUGUAGUUGAAGUCGGACCUCCUAAUGCUGCUGUAGUUCGUCUACCCGUUGGACUGGUUCCUCCUCAAGCAGGUGCACGAGGCCGCGGUCUCGUGCCCCAAGGGGGCCCCGUCGAGGUUCAUGUCCCCGCAGUGGGAGGUGUUCACGCCGUCCACCCUCCGCGCCUACCCGGUCAAGGAGCCGUUCUUCAUGCAGAUGAACCCCGACAAGCUGUGGCUCCUCCUUCGGCGGUCCAGCAUGCUGGCGCGACGGUAGUUCACGUUGCCGUUCCUACGCCACUGUUUGAAGCUAGGGUCGUGGAUGCGGCUCCUCAAGCUCGGGCGCCGAAGCUGGCCGCUGCGCCUCGUCUUGGACCUGGACAGCGACCCCUCGAGCCCCCCGAGGUUGUUCUCCCCGUCGGAGCUGCCGCCGCCUCCGCCGCUGCUGCUGCCGCGCCGGCCCAGGCUGGUCGCGCAGGGGUACCGGAAGCUCGAGCUGACCGUCUGCCGCCGCCGCCGCCGCCGCCGUGCCUCGUGGUUCCGGUUCAAGCUGGUCUUGAACUGCGUAGUGGUCUACGGGGGAGGCCGGGACGUUCGGAGGGUGUACGGGAAGUCAGGGUCCGUGGUGGUUAAGUACCCGUUGCCGCUAGGCCCCUGGCGCCCUCCGGACAGCGACUGCCAGCCGCGGCGGCCGCCCCCGCCCGUGACCGGAGGCGGAGACGUGGUGGUUAUGGUCGGCGGCGGCGGCGGAGGCGUCGUCGUCGUCGGCGUCGUCUCCGACGUGCCGACCCCGUUGCAGCAGGGGCCGUGCUCGACCGUCGGCGGAGUCGGCGGCGGCGUGGUGGUCCGCCCCGGCGGCGGCUUGUUGCGACGGCGGCGGCGGCGUCGUCGACGUCGUAGUAGUGCUAAGGGUGGGAUGUAGCGGCGCGUCCGCGUCUCGACCGAGGUCUUCUUGCCGAAGGUGAGGGACCGGGCUGGGUGGAUCGAACGGUCUCUCUGGUAGUUCUGGUCGAGGUGGCGCGCGGCGGAAGUAGGUAGUAGGUACCGCUUCUAGCUGGCUGUCCACACACACACACAAGGUGACUUCGUCCGCUCUAGUGCCUCCUUGGUGUUGGUACGUACGUAAUGGUGGUGUUGACUUGGCUUUGGCUUUGACUUUGACCUACGAUCAUAAGAAAAAGGUAAAGAACAAUAAAAAAGAACUAACUCACUCUACCUAAACUCUCCUGCCUACCUACACCAGUACAUUUACGCCUCAAGGGGUUCUUCUGCUAGCUCUAACCAAGAUGAGAUCGAAGAUCAUCGAGAUCGAUCGAAAGUUGAGUUCACAGCUCACACAAACACACACACCACCUCAUAGAAAACCACGAAGAGCAACGUAUGGUACCGGUUGUCGCUACUGAGCCCCCCCUAAGGUGUAGUGUCGAGUAAAACAAACCAGAGUACAACGUAGUGAGUGACGUACUACUCUAA